rnacentral:rRNA from 1 species
AUACGGAGGGUGCAAGCGUUGUUCGGAUUUAUUGGGCGUAAAGCGAGUGUAGGCGGCUUAGCAAGUCGGGUGUGAAAUCCCAGGGCCCAACCCUGGAACUGCACCCGAUACUGCUAGGCUAGAAUUCCGGAGAGGGUGGCGGAAUUCCCGGUGUAGGGGUGAAAUCCGUAGAUAUCGGGAGGAACACCAGUGGCGAAGGCGGCCACCUGGACGGUAAUUGACGCUCAGACUCGAAAGCGUGGGUAGCAAACAGGAUUAGAAACCCCAGUAGUCC